GCCGAAGUAACUCAGCCUGGCUAGAGUGAUGCUCUCAUAAGGCAUAAGUCGGGAGUUCAAAUCUCCCCUUCGGCA
rnacentral:tRNA from 1 species